rnacentral:rRNA from 1 species
CAGUCGCCACGGUAAAACGAAGGGGGCUAGCGUUGUUCGGAAUUACUGGGCGUAAAGCGCACGUAGGCGGAUAUUUAAGUCAGGGGUGAAAUCCCGCAGCUCAACUGCGGAACUGCCUUUGAUACUGGGUAUCUUGAGUAUGGAAGAGGUUAGUGGAAUUGCGAGUGUAGAGGUGAAAUUCGUAGAUAUUCGCAGGAACACCAGUGGCGAAGGCGGCUAACUGGUCCAUAACUGACGCUGAGGUGCGAAAGCGUGGGGAGCAAACAGGAUUAGAUACCCGCGUAGUCCCUGUCUCUUAUAC